AAAAACUAGGAUUAGAUACCCUAUUAUUAAAGUAAAAUUUUUAAGGAAGCACUAAAAUCAAUCUGAUUAAAACUUAAAGAAUAUGGCGGCAGUUACAAUUUUUAGGGGAAUUUACACAAUAAUUGACAACCCUCAUGAUGUUUUACAUAUUUUUAUAGUUUGUAUACCGCCGUCUUUAGGUGCCAUUUUAAAUUGUACUAACAACUUUUAAUAGUAAAAGACAGGUCAUGGUGCAGCCAAUNANUAUGAUUGUUGCGAGUUACAAUAUUUUUUUAUUUNGAAUAGAUUAUUAAAUUAUAAAAAGAAGUUGGACUUAAUAGUAAAAUAUAAAUUGAAGU
rnacentral:rRNA from 1 species